rnacentral:rRNA from 1 species
UACGUAGGGGGCUAGCGUUAUCCGGAAUUACUGGGCGUAAAGGGUGCGUAGGUGGUUUCUUAAGUCAGGGGUGAAAGGCUACGGCUCAACCGUAGUAAGCCUUUGAAACUGGGAAACUUGAGUGCAGGAGAGGAGAGUGGAAUUCCUAGUGUAGCGGUGAAAUGCGUAGAUAUUAGGAGGAACACCAGUUGCGAAGGCGGCUCUCUGGACUGUAACUGACACUGAGGCACGAAAGCGUGGGGAGCAAACAGG